CCUUUAGAGAAUGAAGCACAAUUGGAGAAACAGACGACUCGGCACAUAGAAUCUUUACACAAAACCCAAGCCCAGGCCCAAGCAUUCUGUUAGCACGGAAACCCUAAAGGCUGCCAUGGAAGCUGAUGUCCACAGAGGUUCAACUCUUUCCUCCAUGUUCUACAGCUGAUUUCUGGAGAAUCUGCUUGAGAGACAAUCUAGAUCUGAGGUGUCCCUGAAACAUGAGGAAGGUGAUGGACUGCUCCAACUACCAGUGACAGUAACAAGAAGAGCAAAAAUCAAAGUGAGAUUGGAUGGGAUCAGUUAACACUGGACAGUUGCUAAGGUAGAAAAUUUCUAUUAUGAGUUGCAUUAAAAUACAGAGUA